GACGAACGCUGGCGGCGUGCUUAACACAUGCAAGUCGAACGGAAAGGCCCUGCUUUUGUGGGGUGCUCGAGUGGCGAACGGGUGAGUAACACGUGAGUAACCUGCCCUUGACUUUGGGAUAACUUCAGGAAACUGGGGCUAAUACCGGAUAGGAGCUCCUGCUGCAUGGUGGGGGUUGGAAAGUUUCGGCGGUUGGGGAUGGACUCGCGGCUUAUCAGCUUGUUGGUGGGGUAGUGGCUUACCAAGGCUUUGACGGGUAGCCGGCCUGAGAGGGUGACCGGCCACAUUGGGACUGAGAUACGGCCCAGACUCCUACGGGAGGCAGCAGUGGGGAAUAUUGCACAAUGGGCGGAAGCCUGAUGCAACAACGCCGCGUGCGGGAUGACGGCCUUCGGGUUGUAAACCGCUUUCGCCUGUGACGAAGCGUGAGUGACGGUAAUGGGUAAAGAAGCACCGGCUAACUGCGUGCCAGCAGCCGCGGUGAUACGUAGGGUGCGAGCGUUGUCCGGAUUUAUUGGGCGUAAAGGGCUCGUAGGUGGUUGAUCGCGUCGGAAGUGUAAUCUUGGGGCUUAACCCUGAGCGUGCUUUCGAUACGGGUUGACUUGAGGAAGGUAGGGGAGAAAUGGAAUUCCUGGUGGAGCGGUGGAAUGCGCAGAUAUCAGGAGGAACACCAGUGGCGAAGGCGGUUCUCUGGGCCUUUCCUGACGCUGAGGAGCGAAAGCGUGGGGAGCGAACAGGCUUAGAUACCCUGGUAGUCCACGCUGUAAACGGUGGGUACUAGGUGUGGGGUCCGUUCCACGGGUUCCGUGCCGUAGCUAACGCUUUAAGUACCCCGCCUGGGGAGUACGGCCGCAAGGCUAAAACUCAAAGGAAUUGACGGGGCCCCGCACAAGCGGCGGAGCAUGCGGAUUAAUUCGAUGCAACGCGUAGAACCUUACCCGGGUUUGACAUGGAUCGGGAGUGCUCAGAGAUGGGUGUGCCUCUUUUGGGGUCGGUUCACAGGUGGUGCAUGCCUGUCGUCAGCUCGUGUCGUGAGAUGUUGGGUUAAGUCCCGCAACGAGCGCAACCCUUGUUCACUGUUGCCAGCACGUUAUGGUGGGGACUCAGUGGAGACCGCCGGGGUCAACUCGGAGGAAGGUGGGGAUGACGUCAAGUCCUCAUGCCCCUUAUGUCCAGGGCUUCACGCAUGCUACAAUGGCUGGUACAGAGAGUGGCGAGCCUGUGAGGGUGAGCGAAUCUCGGAAAGCCGGUCUCAGUUCGGAUUGGGGUCUGCAACUCGACCUCAUGAAGUCGGAGUCGCUAGUAAUCGCAGAUCAGCAACGCUGCGGUGAAUACGUUCCCGGGGAA
rnacentral:rRNA from 1 species